GGGGGCGAAACGGAUUCGACGGGGAUAUGUAAGCACAGGUUGCAUGCCGAGGUUUCCAUCCACCUCGUAAAACCGGUGGAACUAAAUAUAGUCGCAGACGACUAUGCAUACGCAGUAGCCGCCUAAAAAGCGAGCGCUGCCGUCCGGCUGAACAGCUCCCGCGGGUUCAGCAACGGGCGUCGACUAGCGGGAUAGUCUUCCGGGAGGGCCUGUGGCCCGGCGGCGAACCUCAAGCAGGAUAGUGUUGAACAUUCCAAGUCCUGGGGGAAUUUCGGCACGAUAAACAAUAAGACAGGGCUAAGCAUGUAGACGCUUGCGGCGGAGUAUUUUCGGACCCGGGUUCAACUCCCGGCGCCUCCACCA
rnacentral:tmRNA from 1 species